CCCUUAGAUGUUCUGGGCCGCACGCGUGCUACACUGAGUGGAUCAGCGGGUCAGGUUGCGCGAAAGCGUUUCCUAAUCUUUAAAUCCGCUCGUGAUGGGGAUUGACGGUUGCAAUUUUCUGUCAUGAACGAGGAAUACCUUGUAAGCGCGGGUCAUCAUCCCGCGCUGAAUACGUCCCUGCCCUUUGUACACACCGCCCGUCGCUCCUACCGAUUGGAUAUUCCGGUGAAAUUUUCGGAUUUGUGGGAGGUUAACUUCAACUGGCUUUGUCGGUUGAGACUCUCUGAAAAAGUUAAUUAAAUCUUAGUAUCUAGAGGAAGGAGAAGUCGUAACA
rnacentral:rRNA from 1 species